rnacentral:rRNA from 1 species
CCUACGGGGCGCAGCAGUGGGGAAUAUUGAACAAUGGGCGAAAGCCUGAUCCAGCCAUGCCGCGUGUGUGAAGAAGGCCUUCGGGUUGUAAAGCACUUUCAGUGGGGAAGAAAGCCUUGGGGCUAAUACCCUCGAGGAAGGACAUCACCCACAGAAGAAGCACCGGCUAACUCCGUGCCAGCAGCCGCGGUAAUACGGAGGGUGCGAGCGUUAAUCGGAAUUACUGGGCGUAAAGCGCGCGUAGGCGGUCUGAUAAGCCGGUUGUGAAAGCCCCGGGCUCAACCUGGGAACGGCAUCCGGAACUGUCAGGCUAGAGUGCAGGAGAGGAAGGUAGAAUUCCCGGUGUAGCGGUGAAAUGCGUAGAGAUCGGGAGGAAUACCAGUGGCGAAGGCGGCCUUCUGGACUGACACUGACGCUGAGGUGCGAAAGCGUGGGUAGCAAACAGGAUUAGAUACCCCUGUAGUC